rnacentral:tRNA from 1 species
GGGGCCAUAGCUCAGUCUGGGAGAGCGCCGGACUGAAGAUCCGGGUGUCCCGGGUUCGAACCCCGGUGGCCCCA